rnacentral:lncRNA from 1 species
GCACCUGGAUUCAUGGCAAGUAAUCUGUUUAGCUUUGAGCUGGGUCCAGACUACCCUGUAUUUUCAUAGAGCACAGGUAAGCAGUCAGACUCUUGCUGUGAAAUCCUCAGGUCUCUCUACCUCCUUUGAAGCCUGAGGCAGUCUGUCUCAUUUCUUGCCUUUCCCCUUUAAGAGCAAACAAUCAACAAGAAACUGGUCUUGGAAGAGUUUUGAAAUGCCACUAAUGUCUUCCAGCUGCAGUGAUGUUCCUUUGGGCUUUGAAGGUGUUAAUAUCCAUCAGGUGUCAUGUUCUUGUCUUCAUCCCAAGCCAUUUUUUCCCCAUAACUGUAGGAAUAUCAAGAGCUACACCAGAGCCAUGUUCUUCAGUCACAUUUAUCCACCAGUUUGCAUGUGCAGAUAUUCCUAAAGCUUUCUCUAGCCUGGGAAAAUAAGUUAAUCAUGAAACAAGAUGCAAGAACCAUUUUCCAGCUGAGUGGGAUUUUCACAUGCAGAUGUUGCUGAUGUGAACAUUGGUGUAGGCCUACAGGCAGCGUGAGAGUGCUCCAGAUGUCUUGGCUCUGAGAGAUGUUUUGGCAGCCACUGAACAAGGGUUGGAGAUUGAGUCUUGUUCCUGCAAAGCUGCAGCGACAAAGCACACAUGUGAGUUUCCCUGGCACUGGAGUUUCACUGCUUCCUUCUGCCCUGGGACCAGCAGAACUUAAUGCUACAAGGCCAUAAUCAUAUGGCCCUGCAGACACUGACUGUGCUACCCAAACCACAACUCCAACACUGACACUACAACCUCGGCCCUGUCUCUGAUCCCACAUGGGAUCAGGAUAUGCUCACAGGCCAAUGAGAUUUUUGGCCACCUAGACAAGAGCACAAAUCAUUAUACAACAUCUUGAGUGCUGUCUGGAUGGGUUCAGCUGAGAAAGAGUUGCUGCUGCUGGUGAAAGCCCCAGGGGAUGAUGUGCAGCCUCCCUGUGCUCCAGUGUGUGGUACCUGAGCACCCCGCUGCCAAACAGGCAGAAAAAAGGGCCAAGUACUCACUAGGGAGAAGAGGAAACAUUUCACUCACUUAAUUUCAUAGCUGUCAAAACCAGUCUUAAACUGGGGCUAGAAAACAAGUGAGAAGAAAAGCACUGCUUACAUAAUCCUUUGGCAGUGAAAUGAAUCAGGGUUCUUGCGGGAGAAGAGGAAUGCAGUUUUUAAGGAAUAAACAGCAUUGCUGUAGUUGGUAGAAACUGGAU